UCUAGGCCCCGUCAGGAGCCCGAGUUGUAAUUUGGAGAGGACACUUCGGGUUGCCCCAGUAACGGCGAGUGAAGCGGCAACAGCUCAAAUUUGAAAUCUGGUCCCCAGGGCCCGAGUUGUAAUUUGCAGAGGAUGCUUUUGGUGAGGUGCCUUCCGAGUUCCCUGGAACGGGACGCCAUAGAGGGUGAGAGCCCCGUCUGGUUGGAUACCGAGCCUCUGUAAAGCUCCUUCGACGAGUCGAGUAGUUUGGGAAUGCUGCUCUAAAUGGGAGGUAUAUGUCUUCUAAAGCUAAAUAUUGGCCAGAGACCGAUAGCGCACAAGUAGAGUGAUCGAAAGAUGAAAAGCACUUUGAAAAGAGGGUUAAAUAGUACGUGAAAUUGUUGAAAGGGAAGCACUUAUGACCAGACUUGGCCCCGGUGAAUCAUCCAGCGGUUCCCGCUGGUGCACUUUGCCGGGGUUCAGGCCAGCAUCAGUUCGCUCCGGGGGAUAAAGGCUUUGGGAAUGUGGCUCCCUCGGGAGUGUUAUAGCCCAUUGCGUAAUACCUUGUGGCGGGCUGAGGUUCGCGCUUUAUGCAAGGAUGCUGGCAUAAUGGUCAUCAGUGACCCGUCUUGAAACAC
rnacentral:rRNA from 1 species